rnacentral:piRNA from 1 species
GUGGAUCAAUUAUGGGCAUUUCUGUGCU